CUUAUCCAUUUGUCUGCUGAUGGACAUCUACCUACCUCCUUUCUUGAUGAGUCACCACAGACAUUAUUUUGGAGAGCUGACUUUGGCAAGAAUUCUUACCCUUUGCCUGCUUCUAAGCCAGUUUUUCCAGGAUCCCAUCUCCUGGCUCUGGAAUUCCACAUGCGUGCUGCUUGACUCUGGAAGAUCCCGUUUCUGAAGGAGUUGAUGCUGUGCUAAGCCUUUUGCCCAGUGCCUUGUUUGAAAUGACUGCCCACGGUGCUGAAAGUGAUCUCACUCAUAUUACUUUAAGGAACUAGCUUUCUAAAGGCCUGAAGACAGAAGCACAGACUUUUUUAAAGCAACAAGCAAUUGCAAGUCAAUAAACAUCCAGCUCCUCCUCUGCUCAUCCAGCCUGAUGAUGAUGAAAUGCACACCGACAGGAGCAAUAAGAAAAAUAAUAACAUUAUCACAGGAUCAAUGUCUAUUGCUGGCUUCAUAAAUAAAGGACUU